rnacentral:rRNA from 1 species
CAAUCUGCCCAUAUCUGGGGGAUAACAGUUGGAAACGACUGAUAAUACCGCAUAACAUCGCAGGAAGGCAUCUUCCCGCGAUCAAAGAUUUAUCGGAUAUGGAUGAGCUCGCGUCUGAUUAGCUUGUUGGUGAGGUAACGGCUCACCAAGGCGACGAUCAGUAGCCGACCUGAGAGGGUGAUCGGCCACAUUGGGACUGAGACACGGCCCAAACUCCUACGGAAGGCAGCAG